CGACUCCCGGCAACGGAUAUCUCGGCUCUCGCAUCGAUGAAGAACGUAGCGAACUGCGAUACUUGGUGUGAAUUGCAGAAUCCCGUGAAUCAUCGAGUCUUUGAACGCAAGUUGCGCCCGAAGCCAUUAGGCCGAGGGCACGUCUGCCUGGGCGUCAAA
rnacentral:rRNA from 1 species